rnacentral:tRNA from 1 species
CGGGGCGUAGCGCAGACCGGCUAGCGCGCACGGUUCGGGUCCGUGAGGUCGGAGGUUCAAAUCCUCUCGCCCCGACCA